ACGGGUGAGUAAUGCCUAGGAAUCUGCCUGGUAGUGGGGGAUAACGUUCGGAAACGAACGCUAAUACCGCAUACGUCCUACGGGAGAAAGCAGGGGACCUUCGGGCCUUGCGCUAUCAGAUGAGCCUAGGUCGGAUUAGCUAGUUGGUGAGGUAAUGGCUCACCAAGGCGACGAUCCGUAACUGGUCUGAGAGGAUGAUCAGUCACACUGGAACUGAGACACGGUCCAGACUCCUACGGGAGGCAGCAGUGGGGAAUAUUGGACAAUGGGCGAAAGCCUGAUCCAGCCAUGCCGCGUGUGUGAAGAAGGUCUUCGGAUUGUAAAGCACUUUAAGUUGGGAGGAAGGGCAGUUACCUAAUACGUGAUUGUUUUGACGUUACCGACAGAAUAAGCACCGGCUAACUCUGUGCCAGCAGCCGCGGUAAUACAGAGGGUGCAAGCGUUAAUCGGAAUUACUGGGCGUAAAGCGCGCGUAGGUGGUUUGUUAAGUUGGAUGUGAAAUCCCCGGGCUCAACCUGGGAACUGCAUUCAAAACUGACUGACUAGAGUAUGGUAGAGGGUGGUGGAAUUUCCUGUGUAGCGGUG
rnacentral:rRNA from 17 species